GAAGGCACACAAAUUAUGGUCGAAAGGA
rnacentral:sRNA from 1 species